rnacentral:rRNA from 1 species
AGAGUUUGAUCCUGGCUCAGGACGAACGCUGGCGGCGCGCCUAACACAUGCAAGUCGAGCGGAGACAGUGAGUAGCUUGCUAUGAGCUGUUUUAGCGGCGGACGGGUGAGUAACGCGUGAGCAACCUUUCCCAGACAGGGGAAUAACACACCGAAAGGUGUACUAAUACCGCAUAAGACCACGGGAUCACAUGGUUCUGGGGUAAAAAGAUUUUAUCGGUUUGGGGUGGGCUCGCGUCCGAUUAGGUAGUUGGUGAGGUAACGG